rnacentral:rRNA from 1 species
ACUCAAAGGAAUAGACGGGGGCCCGCACAAGCGGAGGAACAUGUGGUUUAAUUCGAUGAUACGCGAGGAACCUUACCCGGGCUUGAAUUGCAUCUGAAUAUGCCGGAAACGGUAUAGCUAGCAAUAGCAGAUGUGAAGGUGCUGCAUGGUUGUCGUCAGCUCGUGCCGUGAGGUGUCGGCUUAAGUGCCAUAACGAGCGCAACCCUCAUCAUUAGUUACUAACAGGUAGUGCUGAGGACUCUAAUGAGACUGCCGGCGUAAGCUGUGAGGAAGGUGGGGAUGACGUCAAAUCAGCACGGCCCUUACGUCCGGGGCGACACACGUGUUACAAUGGGGGGGACAGCAGGCUGCGAAGUGGUGACACCGAGCGAAUCCUCAAACCCUCUCUCAGUUCGGAUCGAAGUCUGCAACCCGACUUCGUGAAGCUGGAUUCGCUAGUAAUCGCGCAUCAGCCAUGGCGCGGUGAAUACGUUCCCGGGCCUUGUACACACCGCCCGU